AGGGAUAACUUGCACAGAUUUAGCACUUUCUGCAUUAGCGAAGCAGCCCGGUAGAUCCAUCGCUGUGCCUGAAUCACUUGGAAAACCUCAAGUCUCAGUUGCAAUUGUCGUAGAGCACUACAGUUUUUCACAUUUUAAAGUUCAAGGACUACCAUUGUUUAAUUGUUGUCGGAAGCUUUCCCCAAGACUGCAGGAGAAUUUUGGAUAAACUUCCCUCCCCUCUGCCUUUAAAUUCGUGAGUGUAAAGAUCUCGGGUGAGCUGUCCUGGGCCCAUCUUGCAAUCACAAAGAAGGUAUGGCGUACCAGAUGGUGACCACGCGCUCGCCAACCUGCGCCCGCUGUCGCAACCAUGGCAUCACCGUACCCCUGAAGGGACACAAGAAGCUGUGUCAGUGGCAGGGCUGCCAGUGUGACAAGUGCAUUCUCAUCCUGUUGCCAUCUCCAGUCGCCAGUUGCCAUGUAAGCCCUGC